rnacentral:rRNA from 1 species
AGCGAACGCUGGCGGCAGGCUUAACACAUGCAAGUCGAACGGGCAUAGCAAUAUGUCCGUGGCAGACGGGUGAGUAACGCGUGGUAACGUACCUUUUGGUUCGGAACGACACAGGGAAACUUGUGCUAAUACCGGAUAAGCCCUUACGGGGAAAGAUUUAUCGCCGAAAGAUCGGCCCGAGUCUGAUUAGCUAGUUGGUAGGGUAAUGGCCUACCAAGGCGACGAUCAGUAGCUGGUCUGAGAGGAUGAUCAGCCACAUUGGGACUGAGACACGGCCGAAAAUCUUACGGGAGGCAGCAGAGGGGAAUAUAGGAAAAUGGGCGAAAGCCUGAACCUGCCAGGACGGGUGAGUGAUGAAGGCCGUAGGGUUGUAAAGCUAUUUUGUGCGGGAAGAUAAUGACGGUACCGAAAGAAUAAGCCCCGGCUAACUUCGUG